UUUUAAAGGGGUUUUAAAAAAAAAUCAAAAAAAAUAAAUGAAAAAAUAGAAAAACCAAAGAACCGGUGCUAAACAAAGAGAUUUUGGAACCACUGAAAACCCCAUACGUGCCCUCUUGGUAUUGGUCGUCUCUCUCUACCUCGAUGUUUUUUUUUCUUUUUUGUUUUUUUUUUCUUUUUGGUCUCUGAGAAAUCUCGUCGUUGCUCUCCUUCUCCAAAUCCUUACAUGAAAUCACCUUGAAGGUUCGAAUUCUUUGAGUUUUUGUAUUGGUUUAAAGCUUGUGAAUCUCGUUGGAAUUGAAAUUUCGUUUUGGUGAUGAGAUUUGAGAAUGAGAUUUGAGAUUAGCUUUGAUGAUGAGAACUAAAUCACAUCUCCGACAUGGCGAUCUUCAGGAAGUCCGUUGAAGGCUGCUGUUUUGAUUAACUAGGACCCGACAGCACCUUCUCGUCUCUUAUCAACAAUGGAGACAAUGGAGGAAACAAUGGCGGCUAGGUACUGGUGCCUUUGCUUCCUGAGGAUGCCACACCUCCUUCAAUGCCUCCUUCCACCAAAUCAUUGCUAUGCGUGGUCUCAGUAUCUGGAUGAAUCAGAGAGAGAUCUGAUGAACGACUCUUUUUUCCAUCACUUAAGCAGAAAGAGGAGCAGCACUCAAGAGAGACUUGGCUGGUGAAACCAAAGCAACACGCCUCCGUUCUCCACUUUAGAGUACUUCUUGUACACAGCACGUAGCCUGCUCUCUCCACACCUAGAGUGAUGUAAAGCUAGGAGCUUUGAGCAUUCCCUAUUAACACACAACAAAGAACAAAACUUAUCAGUUUUUGCAAUUAAGAAACAAGAACAGAAACAGAUAUUUGCAAGUCUUCUCUGUUCUUACAUAAUCUCAGACUCUGCAUAUCCUAUGUGAAACUUCAAGGUCUCCGUCCAAGCUGGUGACUUGUUCAGUGAGCAUCUCGCUGUGUAGACAGCUGAAGCAGCAAGCAUGGAGGGACAGAACUUCAAGGUAAUGUUCUUCUUUGCAUUAGUUGGCAAUAUGACUUAUGUAGGAAGGUAAAGAUCGAUUAUCUUUACUUGUUUUGUGUCUAAAGAUUCUUUAGUAGUUUUCUUGAGAUUUUUCUAUGAAAUCCAAUAAUUUCAACUUCUAAAUUUUUUUUUAAAAAAAUUUAAGAACUUCAAAAGGGUUCUGACAUUGGACCUUCACAAAUUUAAUUACAUUACAAGGGGUUCUAAACUUCACAAAUUACAAAAUUUAUAAUUAAACUAAUUAUUAGAACCCAUUAUGGGUUCUAACAAAUGGAGAUGGUCUAAGACCAUGAUUAACCCGAGGUUCUUAAGAUGAAGUUCUUAGCGGAAGUUAAGAAACAGUUUCUUAACUUCCGCUAAGAACCUCGUCUUAAGAACCCCAGGUUAAUCAUGCUCUAAUGUUACUUUGUGUAGACAAGUAAUCCUAUAGAAACCUCAUGAAGAGAAAAUGAAAAAAUCAUCUACUCUCAAACCAUAUCUCCAUGACUUUUUCAUGUCUACUUCCAGCUUGCUUUCUCAACGAAAAGAUCCUAUUUUUGAUCAUUUUAUCCAAAAUGCUAAGAAGACGAGCAGGGGACUCAUGGCCUUCUUCCACUCGGCGAGUGUUUCUCUCAUGCUAAAUAUCAUGGAUUGUCGCUUGGAAACAGUAGCGAAAGAGAAAGGUUUUGGUACUAUCAUGUAGUCCAAUCACCAAUCUUUGCAACAGGAGAGACCAUUGAACCAGCAUACCUACACCUGCCAAAUCCCUAAUCGUUCCAUUUUAGACUUCCUUAGAGAAGGAGUAGUCAAAAAAUAAAUGGUCUCUCGUCUCAGUAGCUGAGUUGCACAGCCAACAAGUAGAGACAGCUUGAGGGUUCCACCUUAGAAUCCUAUUCCCAGUCGAUAUUCUGCUGUGAGCGGCUAACCACGUAAAAAAAAAAAAAUUUAGGAGUGACUUCUUUAAACCAGAUCCUUUUGAACCAUGGAGCACGAGGCGAUUGCGUUCUGGUCAGGUUCCACGUUUGAGAGGACAUGAAACCUUGUCGAAAAAACAUCAUUCUCCCUUUUCCAAAGAAUAGUAUCCUCCUGCUGUCCAAGUCCGAGAGGUUUGAGCCUCAAAAUCUCUCUCUCUUUUAUCAACCAAACCGUUGUUGACGAUGAUGAAAUGAUUCGAUAUUAUUUUUAUGACACCGGUUUCACCCAGCUCCCGAUUAGAGAUCCGGACCCAAAAGUUAUAAAGCCUAAAUUUGGCAACCUUCGGAACCCACGAUAGAUAAAGUCCAUCUCGGACUCAGAAAGCCAAAGAAGUCAAGUUCGGAAAAGUCAACUGAAAACGUCCAUAAAUCAAAUGUAUUAGUCACCAUCAAAACACAUGGUCUACACCAGAAAUCACGCCACCAUAUGAUCCGCCUAAAAACUUAAAAGAAGAAUGAGCCAAAGAAAAGGGACCCGAAUCCUCGAGAGUAAAACUAUAUUCUCAUUACAUACAAUUUCUACUAUCAUCAAGCACCCUUUGUCGUCUUCAAUAUCAUCAGCAAACAUUCACUAAUUUCCAUUGUUGUCAUAUAUAGCUGCUUCUGCGAGAACUGGAGCAAGAAAGUACGAAUCUCCAUGGGAGAAAGCUCUACAACUAAUGCGGAGCUGUCAAUUGGUCCACCCUUUCGCGGAUGAGAUGAAGAUUGAGAUUGUUCGGCUUCACCUUCUACUUUCCACUUCAUCUUCUCCUUCAUCUUAGCCUUCUCUUGAGUCGCUACCAAACUCAUUUCUUUCACUCCUUUGAUCUAUUCACCCCCAAAACAAAUAUACAUUUUUUACAAUUAUUGGAUUCAUAUAACUAAGAUGAGAAAAUGUUUUCCUUACUGUUUUUCCAGGAAACAACUUCUUCAGCUCAACUUUAGCGACUUUCGAGUACUCACUCUCUUCUCCGGCCUGAAAGUAAAGUAAACACCAGUUUGAUCACUCAAGAGUCACUGAUCAUCAUCAUAUUUAUCCAAAAACAAAAGUCUAAAACUGUACCUCGUAGAGAUGAGCGAGGCGGAGAAGAACGUUGCCGAGAUCCAGCUCCUCAAGAGUGAUGAGAGCAACGUUUGGAGGGAAGGCGUAGUGAGGAUCCAUUGCAUUUCCUUUCACAGAAUUGGAGCCUUUCCACUUCUCCUUGUUUUCGUGUGUGAAUGCCAUUACAAGAGGAGUGUAUAUUUCCUGGCCUGUCCCUCGUCUCCACCUCGCUCCUUCUCCUCCUACCGGAUUUAUGCUUACAUAGUACCAUUGAUACACACAGUUUCCUCAAGGCUCUCCUCCACUCCUCUAGAAUCAUCCAUGCACGUACGCCUGUUUUCAUUAUUUCAGCCACAACCAACAUUGUUUCUUGUUUUUUUUUUUUUUGAUAGUUUAAAUUCAAGGCUGUAAUAUGAUUUGGAACCUGUGGAGCAUCAAUUCUAAUUCACCGUCCUUGAUACUACCACCCCCUGUAGCCCUAUCAACCAACACCGACAACUCUACUUUCUUGUCUUUUGUGUACAUUCCCAGAGACAAACACAAGACUGCAUUAUAUGAGAGAUUAUAGAGGAAUUGGACCAAUCUGCUCAAUUAAAAUGAGAGCCUCAAGAAAGGGGAUCUUCCUUCUUUCCAAAUAAUAUGAUUUGGAGUUAAAAGAGUAACACUCACAGUGUACUCAAACUCUGCAUGCUCUUUGUCUUUGUACACUCUUAUCACCUACAUAACACGAGUAUGUACCAACUAACGAUUCUCAUAUAUUUAACUGACAUCAAUUGCCAAUUGCAACUA